GGCCGCCUACGGGGGGCAGCAGUAGGGAAUCUUCGGCAAUGGGGGCAACCCUGACCGAGCAACGCCGCGUGAGUGAAGAAGGUUUUCGGAUCGUAAAGCUCUGUUGUAAGUCAAGAACGGGUGUGAGAGUGGAAAGUUCACACUGUGACGGUAGCUUACCAGAAAGGGACGGCUAACUACGUGCCAGCAGCCGCGGUAAUACGUAGGUCCCGAGCGUUGUCCGGAUUUAUUGGGCGUAAAGUGAGCGCAGGCGGUUUUUUA
rnacentral:rRNA from 1 species